GCUCUGGGUUUCAUAGUCACUAAAAUCUUGUUAGGAUUUGAAUUCAAUUCUUGCUGAUUCCUAAUCUAACACUCAAUCCAUUGCUCUGGUUAGCUGCCUCUAAUACUUCUCCACUUUCUCUACAUAGAGGAAAUAUUCAAAGGAAAACAUAGCAUAUUUUGGACAUGAUGACUGUGAGGUCACUUAAAUGCAGUAGAGAAGAACCUUUAAGUUGAAGGAUCCUUGGGAUGUUAAGGGAAGGAGCCCCAGCUUAGAAUCAAAGGACAUGGAUUCAAAUUUCAACUCUGCUUGAUACUUAAAUGCACCGAGGUUACAUGCAGAGAAGAUGAAUCAGGGAUUCUGGAGAAGCAAGAACAACCUGGCGAUUGAGAGUCAUCUGCGGCGGUCCAGGACAGUCAUCUCUGCUCGGCUCAGUGAUGGAAUAACCUUGCAUGGCGGCCUCACAAACAACCUCCAUUCGACUUGCAUCCAUCCUUCCUGAAGUCAUAUGAACCGAACCCCAGUGGUUAUUCAGCCUGAAAAAUGAAGCCAGCAUUGCCAGCUACUACAUACUACAUACCACACCAAAAAUUACAGUUGUUUCAAAUCAUACCAUUGUACGCACCAUAAAUCCAGUAAGGUGACCCAGGAGUGUUCAUUAGCAUUUACUUUAGCCUCACUUAUUGUCACUUAACAGACUAAACAAGUACUGAUGGUUCUUCAAACAGCAAUAGUAAAUUAUAGUUAUGGUG
rnacentral:lncRNA from 1 species